AAGGAAAAAAAAACACCACUCAGAUCACUUUCAUUACCUUGGAUAGGGCGAAGCAUUUGGCAUCAACUUCACUCCGCCUGGGCUCUGGGCUCUGGUUGGCCACCACCCCCUUUCACACCCCACUGGUUAUUAAGAAUUUUUCACUUCCCUAGCCAGGUUUCACCCACAUGCUGUUCUUCUGUGGGCGUGGAAGCUCCUUGUCCUGGGGCUGGGUCUCUGCUGACAAAGCCGUGGAGGCAUCAUGAGACAGCCUGGAACUGCUGGGUUGCAAUAUCCCCAGUGUUCAGUAGGUGUCGCUGUAACACAGGAUGAACACGACCCAGUCCUGAAAUUCUUCCAGGUCCCUGUUCUCCAGCCUGCACACAGCCUACUCUUUAGAAAAGUCCCACAACCUUCAUGGGAUAUCUUCAAUCCAUGAGUGGAACAAGAAGUCACUCUCUCGUUUGCCGGUGAAUGAAAGCCCCCAGAUCAGAGGGGGCUCCUGUCCCACACAGCUCCUUGGAAAGUCAAGAGCUAUGGAUUCCCUGGAAUCUACCCUCAAAGCAAAUAAGGCCCUCAUCCCUCUGUUUCCGAAACAAGUAGCUGUAUUGUCCCUGGCUGUGGGUGCCAUUUUGUUUUCCUCAUAAACUGGGUAGUUCCAGGACACAAGUGAUAUGGGGAGAAACAGACAUUUUCCAAACAGCACCUGCAUCAUCCGGUCUAAAAAUAAAUCCAGUAGGACUGGUUUUAGGAGAGAAGCCACUGCUAAAAAUAAUGCUUACACGUACGAUGACAUCAGCAGGUAACUGACCUGGGAACUGCAGGGCCCCAGCAUCUAACCGACAUCUUGAGCUCUGGUCUGCUUUGUGAGGUGAUCAAUCUGUCUUCACCCUCCGCCCACCUGGCCUUCAUUUCAGGAGCCCAGGGCUGGGCCCGCUAAAUUCAAGGAAAGGGGCUGGCAGAACAUAGGGAAGCUCUGGAUUUAGAGCUUUCAUUAAAAAAUAAUAUGGACUUUCUAUUUCAAGAACAGAAUGUCUAAUAAUGCUGCUGAGGAGAAGCUCUCCAGGACCUGCUUUGAUGGCGCUGAUGGGAUGGCAGGCAGGGGCCGCCUCAGGCAGCCUAAUUGCUGCAACUCUACACUCCAAUUAGACACCAAAUGAACGUGCUGAAUAAU